CUUUAGUCCUAGGGAAUGACUCACCAGAACUUUGGACUCAGGUCAUUCGCCAGUUUAUAUCAGUUUUGAUCUUGAGAUAUUAGAACAAGACUAAAGGAAAUAUCCCUUAUUCAAUAGAACAAGACAAGAAUGAAGAAGAGUGAAUUAUGAUAAGGGAGUUGAGUGAUAGUUGUCCAAAGUCACCAAUCUAAUUAAUGGCAAAUCUGGGAUUCAAACCCAGGCAUUCCUACUCCAGAAUCCAUGCUGUUGGGCCUUCUGUUUUGCUGCUUCUAGGAGACAGGUGACGUAGAUGUAAACAAAGAUGCGGUGAAGUGCCUGAGUAUUAUGAACCCGAAUGUGUUUUCCCCUUUAAUCUUUAGCUUUGUAUUAGCUAUCAUGUAAAAGUAUCCCUAAGUCAUUAAAGUUAGAAGUUUGGCAUUUAA